rnacentral:rRNA from 1 species
AACUAACGCUAGUGGUAUGCCUCAAACAUGCAAGUCGAACGAGAAAGCAUCUUCGGAUGCGAGUACAGUGGCGCACGGGUGAGUAACACGUAACUAACGUACCCUUUCGCUGUGGAUAACUCCGGGAAACCGGAGCUAAUACAGAAUAAUCUUUUAAAAUCUGCGGAUUUUAUUUGCAAAGCUCUCGGGCGCGAAAGGAUCGGGUUGCGGCCUAUUAGUUUGUUGGUGGGGUAAUGGCCUACCAAGGCGACGAUAGGUAGCUGGUCUGAGAGGAUGAUCAGCCACACUGGAACUGAAACACGGUCCAGACACCCACGGGUGGCAGCAGUUGGGAAUCUUGGACAAUGGGAGAAAUCCUGAUCCAGCAAUACCACGUGAGUGAUGAAGGCUCUCGGGUCGUAAAGCUCUUUCAGCGGGGAAGAAGGGAAACUUGACGGUACCCGCAGAAGAAGCACCGGCUAACUCCG